rnacentral:rRNA from 1 species
AUUGAACGCUGGCGGUAGGCCUAACACAUGCAAGUCGAACGCGAAAGUCCUUCGGGAUGAGUAGAGUGGCGGACGGGUGAGUAACGCGUAGGAAUCUAUCCUGUAGUGGGGGAUAACGUUUCGAAAGGAACGCUAAUACCGCAUACGCCCCAAGGGGGAAAGCGGGGGAUCGUCGGACCUCGUGCUAUAGGAGGAGCCUGCGUGGGAUUAGGUAGUUGGUGGGGUAAAGGCUCACCAAGGCGACGAUCCGUAGCUGGCCUGAGAGGGUGAUCAGCCACACCGGAACUGAGACACGGUCCGGACUCCUACGGGAGGCAGCAGUGGGGAAUAUUGCGCAAUGGGCGAAAGCCUGACGCAGCCAUACCGCGUGUGUGAAGAAGGCCUUCGGGUUGUAAAGCUCUUUCAGUGGGGAGGAAAAGCUGGUGGCUAAUAUCCAUCGGCCGUGACGCUACCCACAGAAGAAGCACCGGCUAAUUCCGUGCCAGCCGCCGCCGUAACAC